UACGUAGGGUGCGAGCGUUGUCCGGAAUUAUUGGGCGUAAAGAGCUCGUAGGCGGUUUGUUGCGUCGGCUGUGAAAUCCCGAGGCUCAACCUCGGGUCUGCAGUCGAUACGAGCAAACUAGAGUGCUGCAGGGGAGACUGGAAUUCCUGGUGUAGCGGUGAAAUGCGCAGAUAUCAGGAGGAACACCAAUGGCGAAGGCAGCUCGCUGGGACGGUACUGACGCUGAGACGCGAAAGCGUGGGGAGCAAACAGG
rnacentral:rRNA from 1 species